UGGGGAAUUUUGCACAAUGGGGGAAACCCUGAUGCAGCGACGCCGCGUGAUUUAGAAGGCCUUCGGGUUGUAAAAAUCUUUUCUAUGGGAAGAAAAUGACAGUACCAUAGGAAUAAGGACCGGCUAAUUACGUGCCAGCAGCCGCGGUAAUACGUAAGGUCCGAGCGUUGUCCGGAAUCAUUGGGCGUAAAGGGUACGUAGGCGGGUAAGCAAGUUAGAAGUGAAAUCCUAUAGCUCAACUAUAGUAAGCUUUUAAGACUGCUCAUCUUGAGGUAUGGAAGGGAAAGUGGAAUUCCUAGUGUAGCGGUGAAAUGCGCAGAUAUUAGGAGGAAUACCGGUGGCGAAGGCGACUUUCUGGCCAUAACCUGACGCUGAGGUACGAAAGCGUGGGUAGCAAACAGG
rnacentral:rRNA from 1 species